GUUGUGGUUAAAAGCUCGUAGUUGAACCUUGGGCCUGGCUGGCCGGUCCGCCUCACCGCGUGUACUGGUCCGGCCGGGCCUUUCCCUCUGUGGAACCCCAUGCCCUUCACUGGGCGUGGCGGGGAAACAGGACUUUUACUGUGAAAAAAUUAGAGUGCUCCAGGCAGGCCUAUGCUCGAAUACAUUAGCAUGGAAUAAUAGAAUAGGACGUGUGGUUCUAUUUUGUUGGUUUCUAGGACCGCCGUAAUGAUUAAUAGGGACAGUCGGGGGCAUCAGUAUUCAAUUGUCAGAGGUGAAAUUCUUGGAUUUAUUGAAGACUAACUACUGCGAGAGCAUUUGCCAAGGAUGUUUUCAUUAAUCAGGAACGAAAGUUAGGGGAUCGAAGACGAUCAGAUACCGUCGUAGUCUUAACCAUAAACUAUGCCGACUAGGGAUCGGACGGUGUUAUUUUUUGACCCGUUCGGCACCUUACGAGAAAUCAAAGUGCUUGGGCUCCAGGGGGAGUAUGGUCGCAAGGCUGAAACUUAAAGAAAUUGACGGAAGGGCACCACCAGGGGUGGAGCCUGCGGCUUAAUUUGACUCAACACGGGGAAACUCACCAGGUCCAGACACAAUGAGGAUUGACAGAUUGAGAGCUCUUUCUUGAUUUUGUGGGGUGGUGGUGCAUGGCCGUUCUUAGUUGGUGGAGUGAUUUGUCUGCUUAAUUGCGAUAACGAACGAGACCUUAACCUGCUAAAUAGCCCGUAUUGCUUUGGCAGUACGCUGGCUUCUUAGAGGGACUAUCGGCUCAGCCGAUGGAGUUUGAGCAUAACAGUCUGUGAUGCCCUUAGAUGUCUGGGCCGCACGCGCGCUACACUGAC
rnacentral:rRNA from 1 species